rnacentral:lncRNA from 1 species
AUGUCUCAAGCUUCCACUCACCAGGCAUUGUCAUCCUCUAACUGUAACUUGGAACUGCUGCUGCUAAUCGAGGCCUUUUCCUCCAUGGCCACCCGCCACGCACUGGCUGCAGAUCACUUCCUGUUUCCCCUGGACCACAAGCCCCUGCCUUUGAGGCUGCCAACUCCGCACAGGUCUCAGCAGAGAAGGGUGAAUCAGGCAGGUUUCCCAUUAAAGUCUCUUCACUUUAUUCUCUGUAUUUCCACUCCAAGCCCUAUGGGGAACCAGACUUUCUGGAACCCCUGGGGUUAACCAACAGGAAUUACGAUGUGGGAGGGAAAGAUUCAAACAUAAUGCUGAAUAAGACUCUGCUUGGCGUCUAAAGGAAAAGCACCUCAAAAUCAACCUUUCCCAGGGAUCCCACUUGCUUGAGGUUGCAUCCAGUUCUUUUUUUUUUUUUUUUUUUUUUUUUUUUUNNNNNNNNNNNNNNNNNNNNNNNNNNNNNNNNNNNNNNNNNNNNNNNNNNNNNNNNNNNNNNNNUUUUUUUUUUUAGCUAUUUCUUGGGCCGCUCCCGCGGCAUAUGGAGGUUCCCAGGCUAGGGGUCUAAUCGGAGCUCUAGCCACCAGCCUACGCCAGAGCCACAGCAACGCAGGAUCUGAGCCGCGUCUGCGACCUACACCACAGCUCAUGGCAACGCUGGAUCGUUAACCCACUGAGCAAGGGCAGGGACCGAACCAGCAACCUCAUGGUUCCUAGUCGGAUUCGUUAACCACUGCGCCACGACGGGAACUCCUGCAUCCAGUUCUUAUUCUAGAUCCCCUGUCCUCGGACAAACCUUCUUUUUAGAGGACCCCUCCUUUGCACAAUCACAGUGAAAUUGUCACCUUACCCACCUUUAGGGAUCGGGUCACCAACAUACAAAUCGAUCUCUUCUGGUCAUGAGGACAGUCCUAGGACUUGAGUAACAUCCAACAGAGCUCGUCUCAAAAUCUGGCUUAUUCGACCUCACAUCACACAGCACAGGAGGGAAGUGGGCUUCGGCAGGACAGCCCCACGUGAGUCUGGUCUGGUGAAUGUCUCUUCUUUCCUCCUCAUCACCCAGGCAGCAAUGAAUAGACGUCACUCACAAUACACAGUGCGUGCGUGUGCGCACACACGCAAUACACAACAUACACAUUUUCCAAGGACCAAUGGCAUGAUCUCUCUGUAUUAAGCCAGAGAAAUUAUUUUCUAAAUGGACACAGAAUCCUGCCCUCAGUGAGUCUUAAGUUUCAUCAUUAUGCAGAGCUGUGUCCACUCGGAUUUGGUCAUC